rnacentral:rRNA from 1 species
UACGUAGGGUGCAAGCGUUGUCCGGAAUUAUUGGGCGUAAAGGGCUCGUAGGCGGUCUGUUGCGUCGGGAGUGAAAACUUACAGCUUAACUGUGAGCGUGCUUUCGAUACGGGGCAGACUUGAGGCAUUCAGGGGAGAACGGAAUUCCUGGUGUGAGCGGUGGAAUGCGCAGAUAUCAGGAGGAACACCGGUGGCGAAGGCGGGUCUCUGGGCAGUGAACUGACGCUGGAGGAGCGAAAAGCGUGGGGAGCGAACAGG